rnacentral:rRNA from 1 species
UACGUAGGGGCGAGCGUUGUCCGGAAUCAUUGGGCGUAAAGAGCGUGUAGGCGGACUGGAAGGUCUGGUGUGAAAGCCCGGGGCUCAACCCCGGAGGGUCACUGGAAACCGACAGUCUUGAAUCUGGAAGAGGAGAGUGGAAUUCCUGGUGUAGCGGUGGAAUGCGCAGAUAUCAGGAGGAACACCAAUGGCGAAGGCAGCUCUCUGGUACAUGAUUGACGCUGAGACGCGAAAGCGUGGGGAGCGAACAGG